rnacentral:rRNA from 1 species
AACGAACGCCGGCGGCAUGCCUAACACAUGCAAGUCGAACGAGACCUUCGGGUCUAGUGGCGCACGGGUGCGUAACACGUGGGAAUCUGCCCUUGGGUUCGGAAUAACAGUUGGAAACGACUGCUAAUACCGGAUGAUGACGUAAGUCCAAAGAUUUAUCGCCCAAGGAUGAGCCCGCGUCGGAUUAGCUAGUUGGUGGG